AUGACAAUUCCAUAUUUAAAAUUCGGUAAAAAAAUAAAAUACGGUUCAUAUCACUAUAAUGUUUACCAAUAACACUAUAUGCCACUAUAAUUUAAAUUCUGCACCAUAUUUUAUUAUAACAUGAGGGCAACAUGUGGGUCCAUUAAAAUGUAAAUAAAUAACUAAUAAAAAAGAAACCUCCUUUCCCCCCUCCCUUCCCCUCCACCGCCGGCCCUACUCCUUCACUGCUGCACGUUCCAAUUCCUGAUGCUCUUUAGCAUACCCCUGCUCUCCGAACUCUGGAUGAGACCGAAUCGAAGUCGAUUCUUCCACAUGUUCUUGCAAAAAUUGAAUGUGGCCUUGUGGAGCUGGUUCUCUGCAACAACACCUGGAUUCGUCGCAAUCAUGGUCCGUACGAUCGGCGAUAAGGAUGAGAUGUAAUCUUGCAUGUUGUGGAAGGAUCAGUUAGCUGGAAAGAUCGGAUAGAAAAUUGUAAGAUAGAGUUUUAUGUCAAUUUUUUGAUGGGUUUUCGGGAAUUGAGACUUAGGUUUCGACCUUAUUUGUUUUUUCCAAAUACAAGAGCUAUGAAAAUGGGGUCGAUCUUUGAUGAAUUGGAAGUUCUUGUAAUCUCAUAUCAAAAGGGUGGUUCUAGAAUGAUGUUACCCAAAGUAUGUAAUUGUUGAAAACGAAUUCAAUUUCGAUGGUGGUUGGGAGCUAGACGGGGGAGAAAAGAAAGCAGAGUUUUGGUUUUAUCUUGCUAAAGCACAAAACAACUUCAAC
rnacentral:lncRNA from 1 species